rnacentral:rRNA from 1 species
UACCAGCACCCCGAGUGGUCGGGACGAUUAUUGGGCCUAAAGCAUCCGUAGCCGGUACUGCAAGUCUUCCGUUAAAUCCACCUGCUUAACAGUUGGGCUGCGGGGGAUACUACAGCGCUAGGAGGCGGGAGAGGCAAGCGGUACUCAAUGGGUAGGGGUAAAAUCCGUUGAUCCACUGAAGACCACCAGUGGCGAAGGCGGCUUGCCAGAACGCGCUCGACGGUGAGGGAUGAAAGCUGGGGGAGCAAACCGG